rnacentral:snRNA from 1 species
GAGCGUGUGUCAGGAGACACGUCUGACAUUGAUCGCUAUGAUCUUUACGGCUUGAUCUGUCUAGAUUGGUUGUUUCCACUACACUAAAUUUAUAGAAGGAGCUCCCGCUGCACUCCGGGUCGCACGGUCGAGCUCUAGUCAAAAUUUCGGUCGUAGUGUUUUCAAGGCACGGCGGCCAUGGGGUUCUUUCUGUUAGGGCUUCUCUCUUAUUUCGCGUAACGGGAAGUUCGUACUCAGAAACCACAAUCAUUUAUGUCGCUCCGUUUAAGGCACUACACGUGGUAGAUUGCCAUUCUUU